CUGCAAGUCGAGCGAGACCGCGAAGAGCUUGCUCUUUCGGUUCAGCGGCGGACGGGUGAGUAACACGUGGGCAACCUGCCCUGCACAUCGGGAUAACUCCGGGAAACCGGUGCUAAUACCGGAUAGUUUGUUUCACCUCCUGGUGAGGCACGGAAAGACGGUUUCGGCUGUCACUGCAGGAUGGGCCCGCGGCGCAUUAGCUAGUUGGUGGGGUAAUGGCCCACCAAGGCGACGAUGCGUAGCCGACCUGACAGGGUGAUCGGCCACACUGGGACUGACACACGGCCCAGACUCCUACGGGAGGCAGCAGUAGGGAAUCUUCCGCAAUGGACGCAAGUCUGACGGAGCAACGCCGCGUGAGUGACGAAGGUUUUCGGAUCGUAAAACUCUGUUGUGAGGGAAGAACACGUACCAGGUAACUACUGGUACCUUGACGGUACCUCACCAGAAAGCCACGGCUAACUACGUGCCAGCAUCCGCGGUAAUACAUAGGUGGCAAGCGUUGUCCGGAAUUAUUGGGCGUAAAGCGCGCGCAGGCGGUCCUUUAACUCUGAUGUGAAAGCCCACGGCUCAACCGUGGAGGGUCAUUGGAAACUGGAGGACUUGAGUGCAGAAGAGGAAAGUGGAAUUCCAUGUGUAACGGUGAAAUGCGUAGAGAUGUGGAGGAACACCACUGGCGAAGGCGACUUUCUGGUCUGUAACUGACGCUGAGCGCGAAAGCGUGGGGAGCAAACAGGAUUAGAUACCCUGGUAAUCCACGCCAUAUACGAUG
rnacentral:rRNA from 1 species